rnacentral:rRNA from 1 species
UUAAGCAAAAAAGAGCGCAGGGUGGAUGCCUUGGCACUAAGAGCCGAAGAAAGACGUGAUAAGCUGCGAAAAGCUGCGGGGAGAUGCAAAUAAUCCUUGAUCCGCAGAUGUCUGAAUGGGGAAACCCGGUACGAAGAACUCGUAUCAUCCAUACGCCAAUCCAUAACGUAUGGAGGGGAACCCGGUGAACUGAAACAUCUAAGUAGCCGGAGGAAGAGAAAGAAACAUCGAUUUUGUUAGUAGCGGCGAGCGAAAGCGAAAGAGGCCAAACCGGAGUGCGUGCACUCCGGGGUUCGGACCGCAUUUAAGAUUCAGUGAUUCUAGCAGAAAGGUUUGGGAAAGCCUGCCGGAGAGGGUGAAAGCCCCGUAAGCGAAAGGAGAACUGACUGAGCGGGAUCCAGAGUACAUCGAGACACGAGAAACCUUGAUGGAAAGAGCGGGGACCACCCCGUAAGCCUAAAUACUACUUAGUGACCGAUAGCGCAUAGUACUGUGAAGGAAAGGUGAAAAGGACCCCGGGAGGGGAGUGAAAGAGAACCUGAAACCCUGUGUUUACAAGCUGUGGAAGUUCUUUAAAUGAACAACCGCGUACUUUUUGUAGAACGGUCCGGCGAGUUGCGGAUACUGGCAAGGUUAAGCACUUAAGGUGCGGAGCCGAAGGGAUACCAAGUCUUAACAGGGCGUAAAGUCAGUAUACGCAGACCCGAAACCGGGUGAUCUAUCCAUGUCCAGGUUGAAGUUGUCGUAAAAGACAAUGGAGGACCGAAGCCACAUCCGUUGAAAAGGGUGGGCAUGAGGUGUGGAUAGGGGAGAAAUUCCAAUCGAACCCGGAGAUAGCUGGUUCUCCUCGAAAUAGCUUUAGGGCUAGCCUCGAUUUAGUCUUAUGGAGGUAGAGCACUGAAUUUCCGCGGGGGCGUCAAAGCUUACCAAAGAAUAUCAAACUCCGAAUGCCAUGUAGAUGAUGAUCGGGAGUCAGACUGCACGAGAUAAGUUGGGCAGUCAAAAGGGAAAGAGCCCAGACCACCGGCUAAGGUCCCAAAGUGCGUGUUAAGUGGAAAAGGAUGUGGGAAUUCGAAGACAACUAGGAUGUUGGCUCAGAAGCAGCCAUACAUUCAAAGAGUGCGUAACAGCUCACUAGUCGAGAGUUCCUGCGCCGAAAAUGUCCGGGGCUGAAACACGACACCGAAGCCGUGGACUCGCAAUGCGAGUGGUAGAGGAGCAUUCUUAAAACCGACGAAGCUGUACCGAAAGGAGCAGUGGAGGGAUAAGAAGAGAGAAUGCCGGAAUGAGUAGCGAGAGAAAGGUGGGAAUCCUUUCGGCCGAAUAUCUAAGGUUUCCAGAGUAAAGCUGAUCUGCUCUGGGUAAGUCGGGGCCUAAGCACAGGUCGCAAGACGUAAGCGAUGGAUAACAGGUUUAGAUUCCUGUACCACGCAUUAUCAGAACUGUAGGGACGCAUGUGGAAAGCACGAGCCGGGAAUGGAAAGACCGGUACAAGCGGGGGAGGAGUACAAUAGGCAAAUCCGUUGUAUGAUCCGAAGACGUGAUGUGGAGCGAAAUAAAGUAGUGAAGCGUGUGAGCCAUGUGCCGAGAAAAGCUGCUAUUGUGUAAUGCGUGCCCGUACCGUAAACCGACACAGGUGGAUGAGGAGAGAAUCCUAAGGCCGACGGAAGAAGCAUUGUUAAGGAAUUCGGCAAAAUGACCCCGUAACUUCGGGAGAAGGGGUGCCUGCGAGAGCAGGCCGCAGAGAAUAGGCUCAAGCAACUGUUUAGCAAAAACACAGGUCUAUGCGAAACCGAAAGGUGAAGUAUAUGGGCUGACGCCUGCCCGGUGCUGGAAGGUUAAGAGGAGAGGUUAGCUUCGGCGAAGCUUUGAAUUUAAGCCCCAGUAAACGGCGGCCGUAACUAUAACGGUCCUAAGGUAGCGAAAUUCCUUGUCGGGUAAGUUCCGACCCGCACGAAAGGCGUAAUGAUUUGAGCACUGUCUCGAC